rnacentral:lncRNA from 1 species
CAAAAAUAAUUAAAACAAAUUUUCAAACUAAAAGGUCAUUAGCUAAGUUGAAACUGGUAGCAAGGAUAAAUUUUAAAAUAUCUUUUAUGUAGGGUUGUGUCAAAUCUUCAUUCAAUAUUCCAUAACCCAUACAUCCUCAACCUCAAGUGAAAAAGAUUACCAAAGCCAAGGACAUUCCCAUUAGUUUGGGGGCACAAGUUCAAACUUAUGCAAAAUAAAAACAAAGUUUUUGGAAAACCAAAAAGAGAAUGCAACUUGUAUGAAAUGAGUUGCAUGUUUUUAAAAGAAAGUGAGAUUUUUG